ensembl:lncRNA
UUUUUCUCCUUUUGUGCCAAUAUAUUCAUAUAUUUUUUUUGCCCCAAAACCUUCACUGAGACGGCAGGAAUUGCUGUUGUGGUUCCUCGUUAUUUAAACUCCAUGAAAUUAAAGUUCCCCGAUUUGCUGCUGGACAAGUUUUAAAAAGCUGUGGUACGAAGUGGAGAAGACGUGGGAGGUUCUUCAUGGACACAGUUGCUUUUAAAGAUGUGUUACCUUUCCCACGUGGUCACGUGGAUGUUUCCCCAGGUCUUACUGAACGCCGUCGACCCGCUCAUUGCACUUAACCAGUUUGUUGAUUCAGAAAUGUUUAUUGUGUUUCAUCACCUUUCCCCCACCUUCUAAUUUUAUUUGUCUUUUACCUUUUUCGUCGGUCAGAGCAGCAGACCCUAAAUUCCCCCCCAAAACGCCCCACGCUCCCCUUGAGACUCACUGACUGAACCGAGCGGUCGCCCUGUAUGGCGGCGUUUCCUCCGCUACCGUCCACCCGUUUGUUCCUGGAAACGGACCAAUGGCGAAAAUACUUUUAUUGUGUGGAGUAAACACCCGGGGGGGGGGUGGGGGCGUCCGUGUGCCGUCGGGUGUCGGGUUUUUUUUCGCACCUGUGGCGUUGACGUCAUCUGAGUGGGGAUGUCGGGGUUUCCGGGACAGAAGACGCGGUGGAAGAUGGAAGGUGGCACCGCAUGGUGGGGCUGAUGGAGUCGAUGGGAGGAGGAGAUACCGUUUCAUUUUGGCUCAACCUGAUGCACUGGGACGAGUUAAAGUAGGACAACGUGUCCAUUUAGUAUUUAAAAGUUGGGAAUUUAUGGAGCACCUGACAAAGUACGAGGGGAGAGGACUGAAAUCGCUGCACUCUUUACU